rnacentral:rRNA from 1 species
AACCAUCAGAUUAUAUAGUUGGUUCAACCUGCCCAAUGUAAAAUUAAUGGCCGCGGUACUUUGACCGUGCUAAGGUAGCGUAAUCAGUUGGCUUUUAAAUGGAGUCAGGAAUGAAUGGGAUAACCUGGUUUAGCUGUCUUUUAUUUAAUAUAUUGAAUUUACUGUUCAAGUGAAAAAGCUUGAUUUAUUUAAAGGGACGAGAAGACCCUUAGAAUUUUUUUUAAGAGAAUUAAUUUUUUUUUGUAAUUUUGUUGGGGCGACAAAGAAGAACUUAAAACCUUCUUUAUAUUACAAGCCGGUUAUAUUAUGAAAGAAUAAAUUACCUGAGGGAUAACAGCAUAAUUCUAUAGUUGAGUUUGUGACCUCGAUGUUGGACUAGGAAACUAGCAGGCUAGCCGUUUGCUAUGUUGGUU